rnacentral:rRNA from 1 species
CCUACGGGAGGCAGCAGUGAGGAAUAUUGGUCAAUGGGCGGAAGCCUGAACCAGCCAAGUCGCGUGAGGGAGUAAGGCCCUACGGGUCGUAAACCUCUUUUGCCGGGGCGCCGUGCCCAGCUCGUGAGCUGGGAGGGAGCGUACCCGGAGAACAAGCAUCGGCUAACUCCGUGCCAGCAGCCGCGGUAAUACGGAGGAUGCGAGCUUUAUCCGGAGUUAUUGGGUUAAAGGGGUGCGUAGGAGGGCCUUCAGGCCGGCGUGAAAAUUGCGGGGCUCAACCCCGCCGAGUCGUCGGAACCGGGGGCCUUGAGUACCGGAGAAGUACGCGGAAUGCGUGGUGUAGCGGUGAAAUGCAUAGAUAUCACGCAGAACCCCGAUUGCGAAGGCAGCGUACCGGCCGGUCACUGACGCUGAGGCACGAAAGCGCGGGUAUCGAACAGGAUUAGAUACCCCUGUAGUC